UACGUAGGGUGCAAGCGUUGUCCGGAAUUAUUGGGCGUAAAGAGCUCGUAGGUGGCCUGUCGCGUCGGCUGUGAAAACUCGGGGCUCAACUCCGAGCUUGCAGUCGAUACGGGCAGGCUAGAGUUCGGCAGGGGGAGACUGGAAUUCCUGGUGUAGCGGUGAAAUGCGCAGAUAUCAGGAGGAACGACCGGUGGCGAAGGCGGGUCUCUGGGCCGAUACUGACACUGAGGAGCGAAAGCGUGGGGAGCGAACAGG
rnacentral:rRNA from 1 species